UUAAUACCUCAUAGUAUAGCAGUUUCGCAUAGAAACCACUAUUAAAGGUCACAACGGUGAAAGAUGAGCAUGCGUCCCAUUAGCUAGUUGGUAAGGUAACGGCUUACCAAGGCAACGAUGGGUAGGGGUCCUGAGAGGGAGAUCCCCCACACUGGUACUGAGACACGGACCAGACUCCUACGGGAGGCAGCAGUGAGGAAUAUUGGACAAUGGGCGCAAGCCUGAUCCAGCCAUGCCGCGUGCAGGAUGACGGUCCUAUGGAUUGUAAACUGCUUUUAUACAGGAAGAAACACUCCUACGUGUAGGAGCUUGACGGUACCGUAAGAAUAAGGAUCGGCUAACUCCGUG
rnacentral:rRNA from 1 species